AUAAAUCUCUAUAAAGUUCCUUAUAUAGACAAAAAUAAACCUAGUCAACAACUUGACUUAAUAUCUCUCCCUCUCCACUUUAAAUGGCCGGCCCCUUUGUGUUGGUUUGGGCUUUGGGCUUUUAUUUAUUUCUAGUCAUCCAAUGCUUGAAUAAAAGCCCAAUGGGUUUAGGCCCAAUGGGCCCAAUUAAACCCAAACGUUUCUUUAAGCCCAAAACGAUCUUUUAUCGCUUUUAUGAUUUCUUUAGACUUUCUAAAUUAAUCACAACA
rnacentral:lncRNA from 1 species